rnacentral:rRNA from 1 species
UACGAAGGGUGCAAACGUUGCUCGGAAUCAUUGGGCGUAAAGCGCACGUAGGCGGCGCGUUAAGUCGGGUGUGAAAGCCCUGGGCUCAACCCAGGAAGUGCAUUCGAAACUGGCGCGCUUGAAUAUGGAAGAGGGUCGCGGAAUUCCCGGUGUAGAGGUGAAAUUCGUAGAUAUCGGGAGGAACACCAGUGGCAAAGGCGGCGACCUGGGCCAAUAUUGACGCUGAGGUGCGAAAGCGUGGGGAGCAAACAGG